rnacentral:rRNA from 1 species
CAAACCAAAGCUGGCGACCGGCGCACGGGUGAGUAACACGUAUCCAACCUGCCUCAUACUCGGGGAUAGCCUUUCGAAAGAAAGAUUAAUAUCCGAUAGCAUAUAUUUCCCGCAUGGGUUUUAUAUUAAAGAAAUUCGGUAUGAGAUGGGGAUGCGUUCCAUUAGUUUGUUGGGGGGUAACGGCCCACCUAGCAACGAUGGAUAGGGGUUCUGAGAGGAAGGUCCCCCACAUUGGAACUGAGACACGGUCCAA